rnacentral:rRNA from 1 species
GUAUCUUCGGAUAUGAGUAGAGCGGCGGACGGGUGAGUAACGCGUAGGAAUCUACCUAGUAGAAGGGGAUAGCCCGAGGAAACUCGGAUUAAUACCGUAUACCUCCUUCGGGAGAAAGAGGGCCUCUCUUUGAAGCUUUCGCUACUAGAUGAGCCUGCGUAAGAUUAGCUUGUUGGUGAGGUAAAGGCUCACCAAGGCUACGAUCUUUAGCGGGUCUGAGAGGACGAUCCGCCACAUUGGGACUGAGACACGGCCCAGACUCCUACGGGAGGCAGCAGUGGGGAAUAUUGGACAAUGGGCGCAAGCCUGAUCCAGCCAUACCGCGUGUGUGAAGAAGGCCCUAGGGUUGUAAAGCACUUUAAGUUGGGAAGAAAAGUUAUUGGCUAAUAUCCAAUAACCGUGACAUUACCAUCAGAAAUAAGGACCGGCUAAUUCCGUGCCAGCAGCCGCGGUAAUACGGAAGGUCCAAGCGUUAAUCGGAAUUACUGGGCGUAAAGCGCGCCGUAGGUGGUUUAUUAAGGUUGGAUGUGAAAUCCCCGGGCUCAACCUGGGAACUGCAUCCAAAACUGAUUCACUAGAGUACGAUAGAGGGAGGUAGAAUACACAGUGUAGCGGUGGAAUGCGUAGAUAUUGUGAAGAAUACCAAUGGGCGAAGGCAGCCCUCUGGAUCUGUACUGACACUGAGGUGCGAAAGCGUGGGUAGCGAACAGGA